rnacentral:rRNA from 1 species
AUUGAACGCUGGCGGCAUGCUUUACACAUGCAAGUCGAACGGUAACAGGCCUUCGGGUGCUGACGAGUGGCGAACGGGUGCGUAAUGCAUCGGAACGUACCCAGAGGUGGGGGAUAACGCAGCGAAAGCUGUGCUAAUACCGCAUGUGAUCUGAGGAUGAAAGCGGGGGACCGAGCAGCAAUGUUUGGCCUCGCGCCUUUGGAGCGGCCGAUGUCGGAUUAGCUAGUUGGUGGGGUAAAGGCCUACCAAGGCGACGAUCCGUAGCUGGUCUGAGAGGACGACCGGCCACACUGGGACUGAGACACGGCCCAGACUCCUACGGGAGGCAGCAGGGGGGAAUUUUGGACAAUGGGCGCAAGCCUGAUCCAGCAAUGCCGCGUGCGGGAAGAAGGCCUUCGGGUUGUAAACCGCUUUUGGCAGGAACGAAACGGUGUCCGCUAAUACCGGGCGCUAAUGACGGUACCUGCAGAAUAAGCACCGGCUAACUACGU